rnacentral:rRNA from 1 species
UUGAACGCUGGCGGCAUGCUUUACACAUGCAAGUCGAACGGUAACAGGUUAAGCUGACGAGUGGCGAACGGGUGAGUAAUGCAUCGGAACGUGCCCGAUCGUGGGGGAUAACGCAGCGAAAGCUGUGCUAAUACCGCAUACGAUCUACGGAUGAAAGCGGGGGAUUCGCAAGAACCUCGCGCGACUGGAGCGGCCGAUAACAGAUUAGCUAGUUGGUGGGGUAAAAGCCCACCAAGGCGACGAUCUGUAGCUGGUCUGAGAGGACGACCAGCCACACUGGAACUGAGACACGGUCCAGACUCCUACGGGAGGCAGCAGUGGGGAAUUUUGGACAAUGGGCGCAAGCCUGAUCCAGCAAUGCCGCGUGCAGGAUGAAGGCCUUCGGGUUGUAAACUGCUUUUGUACGGAACGAAACGGUCUGCCUUAAUACGGUGGGCUAAUGACGGUACCGUAAGAAUAAGCACCGGCUAACUACGU